rnacentral:rRNA from 1 species
GAUGAACGCUAGCGGGAGGCCUAAUACAUGCAAGUCGAACGGUAACAGGGUAGCAAUACCGCUGACGAGUGGCGCACGGGUGAGUAACACGUACACAACCUGCCUUAUACUGGAGCAUACCCCCAAGAAAUUGGGACUAAUUCUCCAUAACGUUAUGAAGCGGCAUCGCUUUAUAACUAAAACUACCGGUGGUAUAAGAUGGGUGUGCGUCUGAUUAGCUAGUUGGUGAGGUAAAGGCUCACCAAGGCAACGAUCAGUAACUGGUCUGAGAGGAUGAUCAGUCACACGGGCACUGAGACACGGGCCCCGACUCCUACGGGAGGCAGCAGUAGGGAAUAUUGGACAAUGGGCGCAAGCCUGAUCCAGCCAUCCCGCGUGAAGGAUUAAGGCCCUAUGGGUUGUUAAACUUCUUUUCUCUGGGAAUAAAACCGGUAUUUAUACUGCUUGAAGUACCAGAGGAAUAAGCACCGGCUAACUCCGUGCCA